UCAGAGGGGGAUAACCCGGCGAAAGUCGGACUAAUACCGCAUGAAGCAGGGGCCCCGCAUGGGGAUAUUUGCUAAAGAUUCAUCGCUGAUAGAUAGGCAUGCGUUCCAUUAGGCAGUUGGCGGGGUAACGGCCCACCAAACCGACGAUGGAUAGGGGUUCUGAGAGGAAGGUCCCCCACAUUGGUACUGAGACACGGACCAAACUCCUACGGGAGGCAGCAGUGAGGAAUAUUGGUCAAUGGGCGUAAGCCUGAACCAGCCAAGUCGCGUGAGGGAUGAAGGUUCUAUGGAUCGUAAACCUCUUUUAUAAGGGAAUAAAGUGCGGGACGUGUCCUGUUUUGUAUGUACCUUAUGAAUAAGGAUCGGCUAACUCCGUGCCAGCAGCCGCGGUAAUACGGAGGAUCCGAGCGUUAUCCGGAUUUAUUGGGUUUAAAGGGUGCGUAGGCGGCCUUUUAAGUCAGCGGUGAAAGUCUGUGGCUCAACCAUAGAAUUGCCGUUGAAACUGGGAGGCUUGAGUAUGUUUGAGGCAGGCGGAAUGCGUGGUGUAGCGGUGAAAUGCUUAGAUAUCACGCAGAACCCCGAUUGCGAAGGCAGCCUGCCAAGCCAUGACUGACGCUGAUGCACGAAAGCGUGGGGAUCAAACAGGAUUAGAUACCCUGGUAGUCCACGCAGUAAACGAUGAUCACUAGCUGUUUGCGAUACAGUGUAAGCGGCACAGCGAAAGCGUUAAGUGAUCCACCUGGGGAGUAC
rnacentral:rRNA from 1 species